GGUGUCUGGAGGCUGUGGCCGUUUUGUUUUCUUGGCUAAAAUCGGGGGAGUGAGGCGGGCCGGCGCGGCGCGACACCGGGCUCCGGAACCACUGCACGACGGGGCUGGACUGACCUGAAAAAAAUGUCUGGAUUUCUAGAGGGCUUGAGAUGCUCAGAAUGCAUUGACUGGGGGGAAAAGCGCAAUACUAUUGCUUCCAUUGCUGCUGGUGUACUAUUUUUUACAGGCUGGUGGAUUAUCAUAGAUGCAGCUGUUAUUUAUCCCACCAUGAAAGAUUUCAACCACUCAUACCAUGCCUGUGGUGUUAUAGCAACCAUAGCCUUCCUAAUGAUUAAUGCAGUAUCGAAUGGACAAGUCCGAGGUGAUAGUUACAGUGAAGGUUGUCUGGGUCAAACAGGUGCUCGCAUUUGGCUUUUCGUUGGUUUCAUGUUGGCCUUUGGAUCUCUGAUUGCAUCUAUGUGGAUUCUUUUUGGAGGUUAUGUUGCUAAAGGUAAGAGAAAACAUAGUAUACCCUGGAAUUGCUGUAUUUUUCCAGAAUGCCUUCAUCUUUUUUGGGGCUGGUUUUUAAGUUUGGCCGCACUGAAGACUUAUGGCAGUGAACACAUCUGAUUUCCCACAGCACAACAGCCCUGCAUGGGUUUGUUUGUUUUUUUACUGCUCACUCCCAACCUUUUGUAAUGCCAUUUUCUAAACUUAUUUCUGAGUGUAGUCUCAGCUUAAAGUUGUGUAAUACUAAAAUCACGAGAACACCUAAACAACAACCAAAAAUCUAUUGUGGUAUGCACUUGAUUAACUUAUAAAAUGUUAGAGGAAACUUUCACAUGAAUAAUUUUUGUCAAAUUUUAUCAUGGUAUAAUUUGUAAAAAUAAAAAGAAA
rnacentral:lncRNA from 1 species